UACGGGGGGGGCAAGCGUUGUUCGGAAUUACUGGGCGUAAAGGGCUCGUAGGCGGCCAACUAAGUCAGACGUGAAAUCCCUCGGCUUAACCGGGGAACUGCGUCUGAUACUGGAUGUCUAGAGGUUGGGAGAGGGAUGCGGAAUUCCAGGUGUAGCGGUGAAAUGCGUAGAUAUCUGGAGGAACACCGGUGGCGAAGGCGGCAUCCUGGACCAAUUCUGACGCUGAGGAGCGAAAGCCAGGGGAGCAAACGGG
rnacentral:rRNA from 1 species